AGAGUUUGAUCCUGGCUCAGGAUGAACGCUGGCGGCGUGCCUAAUACAUGCAAGUCGAGCGAACGUCAUAGAAGCUUGCUUCUAUGACGUUAGCGGCGGACGGGUGAGUAACACGUGGGCAACCUGCCUGUAAGACUGGGAUAACUCCGGGAAACCGGGGCUAAUACCGGAUGGUUGUUUGAACCGCAUGGUUCAAACAUAAAAGGUGGCUUCGGCUACCACUUACAGAUGGACCCGCGGCGCAUUAGCUAGUUGGUGAGGUAACGGCUCACCAAGGCGACGAUACAUAGCCGACCUGAGAGGGUGAUCGGCCACACUGGGACUGAGACACGGCCCAGACUCCUACGGGAGGCAGCAGUGGGGAAUAUUGCACAAUGGGCGAAAGCCUGAUGCAGCGACGCCGCGUGAGGGAUGACGGCCUUCGGGUUGUAAACCUCUUUCAGUAGGGAAGAAGCGAAAGUGACGGUACCUGCAGAAGAAGCACCGGCUAACUACGUGCCAGCAGCCGCGGUAAUACGUAGGGUGCGAGCGUUAUCCGGAAUUAUUGGGCGUAAAGAGCUCGUAGGCGGUUUGUCGCGUCUGUCGUGAAAGUCCGGGGCUUAACCCCGGAUCUGCGGUGGGUACGGGCAGACUAGAGUGCAGUAGGGGAGACUGGAAUUCCUGGUGUAGCGGUGGAAUGCGCAGAUAUCAGGAGGAACACCGAUGGCGAAGGCAGGUCUCUGGGCUGUAACUGACGCUGAGGAGCGAAAGCAUGGGGAGCGAACAGGAUUAGAUACCCUGGUAGUCCAUGCCGUAAACGUUGGGCACUAGGUGUGGGGACCAUUCCACGGUUUCCGCGCCGCAGCUAACGCAUUAAGUGCCCCGCCUGGGGAGUACGGCCGCAAGGCUAAAACUCAAAGGAAUUGACGGGGGCUCACAC
rnacentral:rRNA from 1 species